rnacentral:rRNA from 1 species
GAUGUUAGCGGCGGACGGGUGAGUAACACGUGGGUAACCUGCCUGUAAGACUGGGAUAACUCCGGGAAACCGGGGCUAAUACCGGAUGGUUGUUUGAACCGCAUGGUUCAAACAUAAAAGGUGGCUUCGGCUACCACUUACAGAUGGACCCGCGGCGCAUUAGCUAGUUGGUGAGGUAACGGCUCACCAAGGCAACGAUGCGUAGCCGACCUGAGAGGGUGAUCGGCCACACUGGGACUGAGACACGGCCCAGACUCCUACGGGAGGCAGCAGUAGGGAAUCUUCCGCAAUGGACGAAAGUCUGACGGAGCAACGCCGCGUGAGUGAUGAAGGUUUUCGGAUCGUAAAGCUCUGUUGUUAGGGAAGAACAAGUACCGUUCGAAUAGGGCGGUACCUUGACGGUACCUAACCAGAAAGCCACGGCUAACUACGUGCCAGCAGCCGCGGUAAUACGUAGGUGGCAAGCGUUGUCCGGAAUUAUUGGGCGUAAAGGGCUCGCAGGCGGUUUCUUAAGUCUGAUGUGAAAGCCCCCGGCUCAACCGGGGAGGGUCAUUGGAAACUGGGGAACUUGAGUGCAGAAGAGGAGAGUGGAAUUCCACGUGUAGCGGUGAAAUGCGUAGAGAUGUGGAGGAACACCAGUGGCGAAGGCGACUCUCUGGUCUGUAACUGACGCUGAGGAGCGAAAGCGUGGGGAGCGAACAGGAUUAGAUACCCUGGUAGUCCACGCCGUAAACGAUGAGUGCUAAGUG